UACGUAGGGUGCAAGCGUUGUCCGGAAUUAUUGGGCGUAAAGAGCUCGUAGGCGGUCUGUCGCGUCUGCUGUGAAAACUCAGGGCUUAACCCUGAGCUUGCAGUGGGUACGGGCAGACUAGAGUGCGGUAGGGGAGACUGGAAUUCCUGGUGUAGCGGUGAAAUGCGCAGAUAUCAGGAGGAACACCGGUGGCGAAGGCGGCUCGCUGGACCGCAACUGACGCUGAGGAACGAAAGCUAGGGGAGCAAACAGG
rnacentral:rRNA from 1 species